GUCGGGACAUCUGCAUUAUGUAUCAUGUUAUUACUCAAACCCCCCUGAACCUCCCAACAUUGAUGUUUGAGGUUACGAGAGAGACCUUAAAUAGGUCUAAGGCACAUUUGCCUUUUGGUAUGGCUCUCACUUUAGUAUUUAGGAGGUUCGGAGUUAGCUUUGAGGGGGAGACAGUAGCUAGGCUAUCUCACUCCGACACUAUCAACCGCCAUACUUUGCACCGUAUGGGAUUUUUCAAAACUGAUGGUGGUUGGACAAAAGGUGUGGAUGAGAGAGCUGAGGAUAGAGCAGAGGAGGAAGGACCAUCCUCACCCCU
rnacentral:lncRNA from 1 species